rnacentral:sRNA from 1 species
ACAAAUGGUCUGAAAUCACUGGCGGUCAUUCUCUUUUCCAAAUAUGCGGUCCACACAACUCAUAACUCACUAUUUAGUUUAUAAGACUGCAAAGUUUUUAUGUCGAAACUUACAAGAUAUGGAGUUUGGAUGAUUUAGGUUGUUCGUUUCGUCGCCGCAGCUAUUUAUGUUCGUUUAGUUGCCGCAACUAUCUGCGGUAAAACGCAGCGUUUUGCGGCGAAAAUUUUUGGACGCCGACUAAUUUUAGCGUCGAUAAUUAAAAGCUGCGGUUGCGGCAGCAAAACGAACAACAACCUGCGGUAGGUUUGUCGCAGCCGCAGCC